UCCCGGACUAAGGGUCCAUUUCACUGACUGUGAGAAGCUGGAAAUGUCCCAGUGAUCCUGUAACUGCUGGGAAGUUUCUCCUGGGCUCAUGAGUUACAAUGAAGAUGAGGAUUUCCUUCCACUUGCAUUGUGCCAUGGGCAACCCCUCUCUGUCCAGUUACCUCCUUUUCUUUUUUACGGUCCAUGUUUCUACAUUGGAAUCAGAUGACACCAAGCUGGGAGAGGUUGCUACAACUCUGGAAGACAGGAUAAGAAUUCCAAAUGACCUGGACAAAUUGGAGAAUUGGUCCGAAAUCAACAGGAUGGAUUUCAAUAAAGACAAGAUCAAAGCACUUCACUAAGGAAGGAAAAAUCAAAUGCACAGCUACAAAAUGGCGAAUAAAUGACUAGAUGAUCCUACAGGUAGCUUACAGUUCCUUAAUACACGGACUGGACACCCUUCCAGCCUGGGACCAUUCUCUUCCAGACGAUCUUCCAGGUGUUGAGAUGGAGGUGGCGGGGAGAGAGGCCAAGAGAUGAUGUCACUGUCUCUCUUUUAUGCUUUCUUCAGGAUGCUAGAAAGAUCCUUGCUGUAACUGAAUUUCAAGGUGAUUGGACCUGAUCAUCCCAUCAUGGCCUCUGCAGGUGAAGAUGCCCUGUUACCCUGUCACCUCUUCCGUAACACAAGUGCUCAGAAGAUGGAGGUGCGCUGGUACCGAUCCAAGUUCUCUGAACCUGUCCACCUGUAUCAGAAUGAAAAAGAUCAGGCUGAGCAGCAAAUACCAAAUUAUCAGGGCAGAACAGAGCUGCUGAAGGAUGGUAUUGUGGAUGGAAGCGUUGUCCUGCGUAUACGCAACAUCACCCCCUCUGACCAUGGGCAGUUUAUCUGUUUCUUCCGAUCAAGCAGAUUUUAUGCGGAAGCCACUCUGGAACUGAAGGUGACAGAAUGCAUAUCACCAAGUUAUACUACAGGAGGACAGAGAGAUCUCACAGCAUUAUUACACUUGAGGAUCUAUUCCACUUGAAACAUGCACCAUACGGACUUGUAUUGGCACCCAGCAUUUUCCAAAGAAUAAUGUCAGUGAUUCUGAAGAAUCAGCCUGGAGUCCAGUAUUAUUUGGAUGAAAUUAUUGUGUUUGGGAAGACUUGCGAGGAACAUGGAAAACAUUUCCAUGCAGUACUAAAUAGGGUGACCAGACAGCAAGUGUGAAAAAUCAGGACAGGGGGUGGGGGUUAAUAGGAGCCUAUAUAAGAAAAAGACUCAAAAAUCGGGACGGUCCCUAUAAAAUCGGGACAUCUGGUCACCCUAGUACUAAACCACAUCAAAACUGCAGGGCUGAAACUGAAUUUCGCCAAAUGCCAAUUCUGACAAACAGAGUUGUUAUUUCUGGGGCACAUAAUUUUGGAGACUGGAUUGAAACCUGACCUGGACCACAUCAUGGUGGUUAAAAACCACCACCUCCAAGAGACACACAAACCUUACAUGCUUUCUUAGUUUUUAUCUCAUGGUAUGCCAAGUUUAUUCUGAACAACACUUCAGUCACCGUUACAAACAUACUCCAGGGAAUCUUGAGCUUGGCCUGGAUGACUGUUGCACAAGUUGUUUUGAAACAGUGAAAGAUUUGAUUGAAAAUAGUCCAGCACUUGCAUUGUUUGACCCUGCCUUAGACUACAGACUGUGAGCAACACUUACUCAAAUCCAGGAUGACAACAUGGAGGACACUGUUGCAUUUGCUUGAAGAACACUUACAGAAGCUGAGAGGAAGUAUUCAUCUGUUGAAAAGAAAGCACUUGCUUGCUAUGGACUAUGGAAAAAUGGAGAACUUAGCUCU